rnacentral:rRNA from 1 species
AGAAUCAACGCUGGCGGCGUGCCUAACACAUGCAAGUCGAACGAGAAAGUGGAGCAAUCCAUGAGUAAAGUGGCGCACGGGUGAGUAACACGUGACUAACCUACCCUUGAGUGGGGGAUAACCUAGAGAAAUCUGGGCUAACACCGCAUAAUACCUUCGGGUCAAAGGAGCAAUUCGCUUAAGGAGGGGGUCGCGGCCGAUUAGUUAGUUGGCGGGGUAAUGGCCCACCAAGACUGUGAUCGGUA